GGCACUGUGGCUCAGUGGGUCAGAGCACCUGUCUCAUAAACAGGAGCUCCUGGGUUCAAAUCCCAGCAGUGCCU